CUGGCCCGAAAAAACGACCCGUGAACGCGUUAAGUACAACAUCGCGGGGUGGGGCGAGGGUGCGCGUCCGUGCCCCGAUCCCCCCCCCCUCGGCGCCCGGGCGUUCGCGACCCGGCCUCGCUACGCCUCCGUGGCGGGCGGGAUGCCUGGUCGCGUCGCUCGCGGCCGAACAACGAACCCCCGGCGCGAGUCGCGCCAAGGAAUCGGAAUAUAAGAUGAAGAGCGCGCCCGCUGCCCAGCCGUCCCGUCCGCGGUGCUCGUGCUGGCAGCGGCGUGACUCCUACGUCGCGAAAAAUACGAAACGACUCUCGGCAACGGAUAUCUCGGCUCUCGCAUCGAUGAAGAACGUAGCGAAAUGCGAUACUUGGUGUGAAUUGCAGAAUCCCGUGAACCAUCGAGUCUUUGAACGCAAGUUGCGCCCCAAGCCACUAGGCCGAGGGCACGUCUGCCUGGGUGUCACGCAUCGUCGCCCCCUCCAACCCUCGGCCCCUAGGGGUCCGGAUGAGGUGGGGGCGGAAAAUGGCCUCCCGUGGGCUCAUCGCUCGCGGUUGGCUUAAAAUCGAGUCCUCGGCAACGAUAGCGCCGCGACGAUCGGUGGUGAUUCUCCGGUCGCGUGCGCUCCCGUUCCUCCGGACCCUAUCGGGACCCUAUCAGCGUCGCAACGCGCGAUGCUCGCAUCGCGACCCCAGGUCAGGCGGGAUUACCC
rnacentral:rRNA from 1 species